CUUAUCAAAUCCUAAUAUAAUCAAACGAACUAAAAAACAUAACUGGACUUAUGUUCUAAGGAACACCAUAAGUACAAAGUUAUUAACGUAAGAAGUCUGACUUAUGUUAUAAAGAACAUCAAAAUGUAACAUUUCUUUAGAGAAAGUGGUUACUUAAAAAUAUUUAUAACGUAAACAAUACUUCGGUAAGUGGUUUUAAUUUACUAAUGUUGUCGAUUGUGCACAGUUUGUUGGUUAGUUGUGUGUGAGUGCUUAAGUAUUUUAAUUAUUUAAGAUGAAUAUUCAAAGAGGCAAGAAAUUCGUUGAAAUGGUGUUAUCCACUCAUCUGGAAAGCAAUGAAGAAAAUGUAAAUCAGCAGUCGGUUUUGAACACAGAGAACCUAGUAGUAGACGAUCCUAUACCGUCAACAUCAUCAGGUCAAGUCAGUAGUUUAACAUACUAUUCUGUACUUGACUUCUCUAGUGAUGACUCUGUACGAGAUCCAUGUUAUGAAUUACCGAGACUUCCAAUCACAUCGAGUUCAAGUACUUGUGAUGAAAUUUCAAUGAAUCUUAAUGUGUCUCCAAAAAAGAGUAUACGUACUAUAAAAAGAGAGAAACAAAAUACGUAACUUAGGACAGGCAUACAAAACUUUAAAGGGAAAUGUAUAUCAGAUCGCACUAUGCAAAAAAAAAAUUAAGAAAAAACAAACAAAAAAGGCCGCUGAGUUUGUUUCGCCAGUUCUUCUCAGGACUGUGGUUUUUUUGGAACCGGUGGUAGAGUUAACAUUGUUAUUUAUAUUUUGACAUUCAACAAGUGUGUUAUACUGACAUCUAAGUUGAAAUAAAUGAUUUUGAAUUUGAAAGAGUUUGCAGAAUGAAAUGUAAAGAACGUAUACCUUAACUGAUAGGCAUGCCAUAUUUACAGAAUAUUGGCAAAUGGGGUCAUAUGCAAAAAGAUCUGUAUACUUGGCGUCUUUAAUGGAAAUUCAAGAUAAAUCUAAGCAAAGAAUACGAGCUAUUGAACCUGAAAAGCAAAAGCUUAGAAUGAAGACAUAAAAAUACUUUUUUACUGUGCAUGGUAAACGUGAACCUGUCUGCCGAGGAUGUUUAAUGAAACCGUUAGAUGAAAGUGACAAUUUUAUAAAGACAGUUGCUAUGAAAA